UACGUAGGUGGCAAGCGUUGUCCGGAAUUAUUGGGCGUAAAGCGCGCGCAGGCGGUCCUUUAAGUCUGAUGUGAAAGCCCACGGCUCAACCGUGGAGGGUCAGUGGAAACUGGUGGGCUUGAGUACGGAAGAGGAGGGUGGAAUUCCACGUGUAGCGGUGAAAUGCGUAGAGAUGUGGAGGAACACCAGUGGCGAAGGCGACUCUUUGGUCUGUAACUGACGCUGAGGGGCGAAAGCGUGGGGAGCAAACAGG
rnacentral:rRNA from 1 species